UUUGGACCAAAUCCUAAAUGUACCAUUUGGAGGAUUUAUAGGUUUCUUUCAAUAGACAUGAAUAAAAGCCUUUUUUAUUAAAUUAUGCAUUUGCUGCUGUGGCUUAUGGAAACGGCAUGCCUAUCUACUACUAGUAUGACGGACCUCAGUUCUAACAACACUUAUGCAUUUGUUUAGCUUUACAUGGUGAAUAGACAUAGUGUACAGGACUGAGGCUUUUCUUAAUUGUAUAACAUUUUUAUCUGGAGAUGUACCAAAUCCAGACCUACUUUUCUCUGACAUUUGUUUUUGUUUUUAAUCCCUACUCUCUCAUUCUGGCUCCUUGAAUCUGCAUUUCUUUGCACAGAGCACCACAGGGAGUUGUAUCCACACAGAAUGGACAGUAGCCUGAUGGACAGGGCGUCCUCAUAGAGACACAGGCGCAAAACAUGGGGCUCUUGCUCCUGAGUUGCAGUGACCACACAGGGAACAACAGCACAGACAUCCUUGCCUGAGAGGAAAGGGCAUCCCAGCGUGCUAUCUUGAGCUGUUGUUGGAGAGAGACCGCUGAAGGCUCAGCGGUAGGAGAGAUAAAGAAAGCCACUUCAUUCCAAAAGGCACUUCUCAGUGCCUAAAAAGGCAGUUUUAACUAAGAAGGCAGCUGUGAAAUAAUGCUUUGACUGUUUGCAGUGAUCCUAUAUAUCUGGCUAUGAACUCACUGAUAACAUAAUAACAUUUUUCUAAGGGGAAAAGGAGGCUGGGUAUGUAACAACUAUAAGGAAACAUAUCAUGUAUCACGCAGCCUUAUUUAGGCAGCUCAGCGAAGGACUUAUGCCCAUGUUUAAUCACAUGCUUAUACCAUUAGUAAUGCUAACAUGCUUAAGCUACUAGCAGCAUGAAGAUGGAUGGGCAUGUGCUCAAAAAUGAGGCAUGGAGUUCACUGCUUUUAAGAAUUCUGGCCUUAAAAUGGUGCUGAUGGUACAUGGAAAUCUUUGGAAACAUUCUGCAUUAUUUGUAGAAAUACUUCUACAGGAAAAAAAAUUCCUUGCUUUGGAUUUUCUCUUUCAGGUUCCUUUCUUAAAAGGAUUUGCCUGAAAAACUCAUGAGCUUUUUCUAUUCUACAAAAAUACAUAAAUAAUGCUUUAUUUUACAAUGUUUGCUCUGCAAAUUCUGAGCAAUUUGCUCUGAAAAACAGAAGUCAGUGAUUUAGCUGAAAAGGUUCCUGGAACUGCUGAGGGGAAGACCCAGUUUUUUUGUCAUCCCCACAGUGCUUGAGUCACCAGAUCCUACUGCUGCUUUAUUUCAAUUUGUCUUUUUAGUGCCAGGAAUAUCUGCAAGCUUCAUGAAGUAAUGCUUCUUCCAUGUUAAGCUAGAAGAUAUAAUGAGCAGAUGUUUUGGACACUGAACUCAAAAUCAGGUUAUUUAGAGAUUUAAUAAAUCUAUACUAUGCUUUC